rnacentral:lncRNA from 9 species
AGCAGAUGUGGGGGAAGCAGCAUGGCAAGAUAUGAGUUGAUCAAUGACCAGACAUAGAGGACCUGAAGAGCACCCCAUCAGCAUCUGUAUUUCUGGACCUGAAGGGGAAGAGGAUGUAAAGUUCCUCAGAUCCUGCCUACUCAGACACAAUCAUCCUUCAAUGCCACUUCUGCAUUUGAGGCUUCCAGGACUGCAUCUAUCUUUCCAUCUUCUGAAUGAAUGCCUCAUGUUUUUUUUUGUUUGUUUUUUGUUUUGGUUUUGGUUUUGGUUCUGGUUUGUUUUUUUGGGGUUUUUUUUGUUGUUGUUUGGUCUUUUUAGGGUUGCACCCAGGGCAUAUAGAAGGUCCCAGGCUAUGGAUCGAAUCAAAGCUACAGCUGCCCAUCACAGCCACAGUCACAGGAACUCGGGAUCCAAGCCGUGUCUGCAACCUAUGCCACAGCUCAUGGCAACACAGGAUCCUUAACCCAUUGAGCGGGGCCAGGGAUCAAACCCACAUUCUCAUGCAUCCUAGUCAGGUUCAUUACCACUGAGCCACAAUGGGAACUCCUGAAUGCCUUAAGAUUAACACACCUUUGGACCAUGUAAGGCAUUCAUGACUCAUCAUUCAGCAGCUCUAGUCCAGAGUCAGUUUCACACUGGCUGGACAAUCCAUUGUGAAAAUCAAACGUAGGCUGAAGAUUAUGUCAUAUCUUUAGUACUAUGAAAAAAGUACGGAGAGCCACUCCUGUGACAAUUUCACAUUGAGUUAACUGUUCCUCAUUUGCUAGUCUUGUUUCAUUAUCUAAAUUGCAAGCUCCGUUAGGACCCACAGUGAGUCUCAAGUCUCUUGGCUUCCCCCACCCAGGGCCUAGCCCAGGGCUGUGUGCAAGGAAGUCUCUCUGUAAACACAAUAACUGUGGAGGGCAGUCACUACAGUGGGAACAAUCACCAUAGUGGUUUCUUAUUAAAAGGCUAAAGACCUGGUGGUUUCCAGAGGUGGUUGCCUGACCCAACAUGCAGGCAAUCUUUCAUUUCUCUUCCC